AAAACGGCCCUUUUCAGGGCUACAAAAAAAAAAAAAAAAAACUCG
rfam:Aedes albopictus isolate Foshan contig110973, whole genome shotgun sequence.